rnacentral:rRNA from 1 species
GACGAACCGUGCGAACGUUGUUCGGAAUCACUGGGCUUAAAGGGCGCGUAGGCGGGUGGCCAAGUCGGUGGUGAAAUCCUCCAGCUCAACUGGAGAAUUGCCUUCGAUACUGGUUGUCUUGAGGGGGGUAGGGGCAGACGGAACUUCCGGUGGAGCGGUGAAAUGCGUUGAGAUCGGAAGGAACGCCCGUGGCGAAAGCGAGCCCCUGGACGUCUACUGACGCUGAGACGCGAAAGCUAGGGGAGCAAACAGGG